GGCAGCUCAGUGGUUUGGACAUUGGACUCCUAAUCGGAAGGCCAUGAGUUCAAAUCCCAGCACUGCCA